AGAAAACACUUCAAACCAAAAGAAAUAAUUGAAGGAAACUAUUAUCCACAGGUGUUAUAAAACUACAAAAUGAAAUAUUUAAAGGUUUUUAUUUUUGUUGCUGUAUUGUUUGCCAUAACAGCAUCUGAAGAGAUUGCUGAACCAUUACAAGAAGUAGAAUCUGAGCGACUUCGAUCAGUAGAUGCUAAAGGAAAUAUUUGUUCCUCAUGCUUUCAUUUUUGUUUCGUAAAUGGCUAUAAGGGUGGAAAUUGCGUAGGAUCUUUCUGUCACUGCUGGUGAAAUUACAACUUUUAUACCAACAUCAACAUCACCUAAAUAUGUUUUGUUUCUACACUUCUGUGUUAUUUUUGUAUGUUUAUAUAAAUAUUUAGAAUGA